rnacentral:lncRNA from 1 species
UUAAUAUUAAAUUAAAUUAAAUUUAAUAUUUCAAUUUGAUACUGGUCAAUGAUAUAAACAAAAGAAAGCACAUGAGUGACUUAGGCGGUUUUCAUAUCAGUUGCUGCAUAGUUCUCAAAAAGUAACUUGAAACAUCAAGUUUGUGCAUACCAGUGA